AAGUAAUCGGUUUCUACACCAAUAAAGAAGAAGAAGAAGUAGCGGACAUUGUAUCGGGAGUGGAUUGAAAUAAACAUGCUUUGGAGUGGUAAUAACAAAGUAUAAUUUUUAGGAACACUUAGUAUACUUUGAGCUGUUUAUUGUAUUACAUGCACGCACUCACAAACCACACAAAGAAUAUAAGCUAUUUAUAAUAGAAAGCGUUACCACAGCAUCAUAGGCCACAGAGUAAUUGUUGUCUCUUUGUAAAAUUAUUUACGUUAUUAUCUCCCAUAAAAUAGAAUGGAACUGUCUCCUGUUCAAUAUAUCUGUAUUUAUUCCUAAUUAGUAACAAAGUAACUUAUACAAAACUUAUCAGCAGGCUGAUAUUCAUAUUCACUUUGACAGCUAGGAACGCCGUUGUGACGCUCAAUGCAAAUAAGUAUAGCUAAAAACGAUCAUCACUUAUCGGCAAAGCGCCUUCAGCCUGGCAUAAAUUUCUGCUAAAAUGAAAGUCACGGGUGGAGCACUGACUACUUCUCAGCCUGAUGAGAUAGGCGCACACUUUACCAUACAUUCUUUGGAGCAUGUUCAUAUGGAUUACCUAUUUCAAGCUUUUAUUCAAAUAUGCCCAAAGAGCACACACAAAACCGUUAAAGUGGGUUGAAUAAACAAUUCAUCGAAAUCCUCAAUUGGAAAUAAUAUAUAUGUACAUAGUAAUAAAUACUAAAAAGUAGUAUAACAAACUGCAAGGGCACCUUUUACCAUAUCUACAUACAUAAGUACAUGUAUUUGUAGUGUUCGCAAACAUACAUACAUACAUAUGUGCAUAUACAAGUAUAUUAAAUUUCUACGCAUGCACCUACGUAAUAGCUCUUGAACAUUUAUUAAUAAAUAAUAAGGAUAAAUAUUAAGAACA